ensembl:lncRNA
CUACAAUACAACAUGACAACACAACUACAUAACACCAUUAAAUACAGUUGGAAUGUAGUUAGAACUCAAACUGUUUCCGUCAAACAGAAAAACAACAAUAAAUCUGGAUCAACACAUUUAUAUUUCUAGAUGCUGCACUUUGCUGUUUCAUUACCCAGACAGCUGUUUAAGGUCAUACCAAGGCAGAGUGUAGUAUCAGUACUUAGGGGUCAUAGGUCAUACCAAGGCAGAGUGUAGUAUCAGUACUUAGGGGUCAUAGGUCAGAUCAGUGGUCAUGGCUGAUAUACAUGGACUAGAAAACAAACUUUAAGACCAUUUUUCUAAGAUUCACUGUUUGUGUAGAUGCUGUUUGUCUCUUUAGGACUGUAGUUCAGGUGGCUGUUUGUCUUUGUAGGACAGUAGUUCAGGUGGCUGUUUGUGUAGAUGCUGUUUGUCUCUUUAGGACUGUAGUUCAGGUGGCUGUUUGUCUUUGUAGGACUGUAGUUCAGGUGGCUGUUUGUCUUUGUAGGACAGUAGUUCAGGUGGCUGUUUGUCUUUGUAGGACAGUAGUUCAGGUGGCUGUUUGUGUAGAUGCUGUUUGUCUUUGUAGGACAGUAGUUCAGGUGGUUGUUUGUCUUUGUAGGACAGUAGUUCAGGUGGCUGUUUGUGUAGAUGCUGUUUGUCUUUGUAGGACAGUAGUUCAGGUGGUUGUUUGUCUUUGUAGGACAGUAGUUCAGGUGGCUGUUUGUGUAGAUGCUGUUUGUCUCUGUAGGACAGUAGUUCAGGUGGCUGUUUGUGUAGAUGCUGUUUGUCUUUGUAGGACAGUAGUUCAGGUGGCUGUUUGUCUUUGUAGGACAGUAGUUCAGGUGGCUGUUUGUCUUUGUAGGACAGUAGUUCAGGUGGCUGUUUGUGUAGAUGCUGUUUGUCUUUGUAGGACAGUAGUUCAGGUGGCUGCCCUUGCACUUAGUCUGCCUCCUGCCCCCCCAUCGUCAUGGUUACACCUUCCUGAAUACAAUGACUCCCAUACUUUGCUGAAACCUGUUCUGCCAGUUCAUGUCCUUAAAGUCUAGAAUGUUCCAAUGUGGUUACCCAAAGAGAUGACAAGAUAGUUCACACAUGCAUCUUUCAGGGUAACUGUCAAACAGACAUGUCACAUUUCUGGUUGGUCCAUAA